UGCGGGAUAGAGCAGCGGUAGCUCAGCGGUCUCAUAAGUCGUUGGUCGCCGGUUCGAAUCCGGCUCCCGCAACCA
rnacentral:tRNA from 1 species